rnacentral:rRNA from 1 species
CCUACGGGGGGCUGCAGUGGGGAAUAUUAGACAAUGGGCGAAAGCCUGAUCCAGCCAUGCCGCGUGUGUGAAGAAGGCCUUCGGGUUGUAAAGCACUUUCAGUGGGGAAGAAAGCCUUGGGGCUAAUACCCUCGAGGAAGGACAUCACCCACAGAAGAAGCACCGGCUAACUCCGUGCCAGCAGCCGCGGUAAUACGGAGGGUGCGAGCGUUAAUCGGAAUUACUGGGCGUAAAGCGCGCGUAGGCGGUCUGAUAAGCCGGUUGUGAAAGCCCCGGGCUCAACCUGGGAACGGCAUCCGGAACUGUCAGGCUAGAGUGCAGGAGAGGAAGGUAGAAUUCCCGGUGUAGCGGUGAAAUGCGUAGAGAUCGGGAGGAAUACCAGUGGCGAAGGCGGCCUUCUGGACUGACACUGACGCUGAGGUGCGAAAGCGUGGGUAGCAAACAGGAUUAGAUACCCCAGUAGUC